rnacentral:misc_RNA from 1 species
GGACCCGGCUUACGCUGGGUCC